rnacentral:rRNA from 1 species
ACCUGAAACCGUGUACGUACAAGCAGUGGGAGCCUCUUAAUGGGGUGACUGCGUACCUUUUGUAUAAUGGGUCAGCGACUUAUAUUCUGUAGCAAGGUUAACCGAAUAGGGGAGCCGAAGGGAAACCGAGUCUUAACUGGGCGUUAAGUUGCAGGGUAUAGACCCGAAACCCGGUGAUCUAGCCAUGGGCAGGUUGAAGGUUGGGUAACACUAACUGG